rnacentral:rRNA from 1 species
AUUGAACGCUAGCGGGAUGCUUUACACAUGCAAGUCGAACGGCAGCGCGGACUUCGGUCUGGCGGCGAGUGGCGAACGGGUGAGUAAUGUAUCGGAACGUGCCCAGUAGCGGGGGAUAACUACGCGAAAGCGUAGCUAAUACCGCAUACGCCCUACGGGGGAAAGCAGGGGAUCGUAAGACCUUGCACUAUUGGAGCGGCCGAUAUCGGAUUAGCUAGUUGGUGAGGUAACGGCUCACCAAGGCGACGAUCCGUAGCUGGUUUGAGAGGACGACCAGCCACACUGGGACUGAGACACGGCCCAGACUCCUACGGGAGGCAGCAGUGGGGAAUUUUGGACAAUGGGCGCAACCCUGAUCCAGCCAUCCCGCGUGUGCGAUGAAGGCCUUCGGAUUGUAAAGCACUUUUGGCAGGAAAGAAACGUCGCGGGCUAAUACCCCGUGGAACUGACGGUACCUGCAGAAUAAGCACCGGCUAACUACGUG